AUACGGGAGGCAGCAGCUAAGAAUCUUCCGCAAUGGGCGAAAGCCUGACGGAGCGACGCCGCGUGGAUGAAGAAGGCCGCAAGGUUGUAAAAUCCUUUUGUCAGCGAAGAAUAAGCGCGCGAGGAAAUGCGCGUGCGAUGACGUUAGCUGAUGAAUAAGCCCCGGCUAAUUACGUGCCAGCAGCCGCGGUAAUACGUAUGGGGCGAGCGUUGUUCGGAAUUAUUGGGCGUAAAGGGCGUGUAGGCGGCUUCGCAAGCUUGGUGUGAAAUCCCACGGCUUAACCGUGGAUGUGCGCUGAGAACUGCGAGGCUUGAGUCCUCGGGAGGAAGAUGGAAUUCCUGGUGUAGGGGUGAAAUCUGUAGAUAUCAGGAAGAACACCGAUGGCGAAGGCAAUCUUCUAUCGAGAGACUGACGCUGAGGCGCGAAAGCGUGGGGAGCAAACAGGAUUAGAUACCCCUGUAU
rnacentral:rRNA from 1 species